rnacentral:rRNA from 1 species
AGAGUUUGAUCAUGGCUCAGAACGAACGCUGGCGGCAGGCUUAACACAUGCAAGUCGAGCGCCCCGCAAGGGGAGCGGCAGACGGGUGAGUAACGCGUGGGAAUCUACCCAUCUCUACGGAACAACUCCGGGAAACUGGAGCUAAUACCGGAUACGCCCUUCGGGGGAAAGAUUCAUUGCCGAAAGAUCGGCCCGCGUCGGAUUAGCUAGUUGGUGGGGUAAUGGCCUACCAAGGCGACGAUCCGUAGCUGGUCUGAGAGGAUGAUCAGCCACACUGGGACUGAGACACGGCCCAGACUCCUACGGGAGGCAGCAGUGGGGAAUAUUGCACAAUGGGCGCAAGCCUGAUCCAGCCAUGCCGCGUGGGUGAAGAAGGCCUUCGGGUUGUAAAGCCCUUUUGUUGGGAAAGAAAAGCAGUCGGUUAAUACCCGAUUGUUCUGACGGUACCCAAAGAAUAAGCACCGGCUAACUUCGUGCCAGCAGCCGCGGUAAUACGAAGG